UUAAACGCGUUGACGGGACCAGUAAGUAAGGUGACUUCACCAUUCAGAGAGUAAAUUCCUUGGCUGAAAGAAUUUAUCGUGAACCCUUGUCUGAACCUACCCCUGAGCGGCCUGCGUGAUCAGCAGGACAGUCCCUUCUGUUACAAGGUUAUGAAGUUGGAUGAUUUAAUCAUCAAUAAAGGUGGUACCGCGGAAGCUAUAACUUUCGUCCUUUGC
rnacentral:ncRNA from 1 species